CUCACAACCGGCUGGGUGCCGUGCCCGGGUUUCUCUCCCCAGCAACCCGGCGUUGUCCCGGGGGUUUCCCUCAGGAAGGGCAAGUGAACAUGCAUCAGAUACAGACAGCAAUAUGCACAAGUAGGGAUAUUGCAGGAAUGUUUUGUUGUCUCCAGAAUACAUCUGCACUUGCACACUGAUGUAUGAGAACCUUUUACUGUGACAGAAUAGUUCAUGGAGGCCCAGAGAGGACACGUGUAGGCCAUGCUCCUUGAUACAGUUCCCAACACCUCUGGGAGCAUUUUCAAAUGAAGUGUCCACAAGCACAGUGCCUGCAGUCUAAAGCGCCUGGCUUUGCACUUCCAUGCAUGCCAUGAUGUGAUGUUUUCUAUGUCAGCAGAGACAUCCCUAGUAAUUGCAGAAUACUAGUGAAGUGGAAAUUCCCUCUUUACAAUUUUCUGAUGCUUUUCUCCCUGGUGACUGGGAAUCCUGAGGUGCCAGCAGAAUAAAACCAGCUAUCUGAGGAUAAUGGCUGAAAAAAAUAGACGCUAGGAACCAAGCUGCUGAGCUAAGAAAGGAGCUGAAUACCGUAGGCCUAUAAAAAUAUUACCUCGAUUAAAACCUGAAAGACGAGAUACUGGACCCAAAUGCACUAAAG